rnacentral:rRNA from 1 species
UACGUAGGGUGCAAGCGUUAAUCGGAAUUACUGGGCGUAAAGCGCGCGUAGACGGUUUUGUAAGUCAGAUGUGAAAUCCCUGGGCUCAACCUGGGAACUGCAUUUGAGACUGCAUGGCUAGAGUAUCGAAGAGGGAAGUGGAAUUUCCGGUGUAGCGGUGAAAUGCGUAGAUAUCGGAAGGAACACCAGUGGCGAAAGCGACUUCCUGGUCGAAUACUGACGUUCAUGGUGCGAAAGCGUGGGGAGCAAACAGG